CCUACGGGGGACAGCAGUGGGGAAUAUUGCACAAUGGGGGAAACCCUGAUGCAGCGACGCCGCGUGAGCGAUGAAGUAUUUCGGUAUGUAAAGCUCUAUCAGCAGGGAAGAAAAUGACGGUACCUGACUAUGAAGCCCCGGCUAACUACGUGCCAGCAGCCGCGGUAAUACGUAGGGGGCAAGCGUGAUCCGGAUUUACUGGGUGUAAAGGGAGCGUAGACGGCGGUGCAAGCCAGAUGUGAAUGCCUGGGGCUCAACCCCGGGACUGCAUUUGGAACUGUGCUGCUAGAGUGUCGGAGAGGCAGGCGGAAUGCCUAGUGUAGCGGUGAAAUGCGUAGAUAUUAGGAAGAACACCAGUGGCGAAGGCAGCCUGCUGGACGAUGACUGACGUUGAGGCUCGAAAGCGUGGGUAGCAAACAGGAUUAGAUACCCUUGUAGUC
rnacentral:rRNA from 1 species